GUUAAUAAGCUUUAUAAAGCAUAUGUUUUGAAAACAUAAAAUAGAAGUUUAAAUCUUCUAUUAACUUCUAUUUUACUAAAUUUAUUACA
rnacentral:tRNA from 1 species